rnacentral:rRNA from 1 species
GGAAGAUAUAACGGGGCUAAAGCACACUACCGAAGCUACGGAUGUACAGAUUUUUAAUCUGUACGUGGUAGAAGAGCAUUGUUGCGUAGGAUGAAGGUCGACCGUGAGGACGGCUGGACGAACAACAAGCGAUCAUGCUGACAUAAGUAGCGUUUAAGACGAGUGAAAAACUCGUCCGCCGUAAACUCAAGGGUUCCUGGGCUAGGAUAAUCCUCCCAGGGUUAGUCGAGACCUAAGUCGAGGCCAAAUGGCGUAGACGAUGGAUAAACGGUUAAUAUUCCGUUACCGACUUUGUUGCAAACGUAGGAGGGACGAACUAGGUAAGAUCAGCCUCUCAUCGGAUUGAGGUGUAAGCGUGCAGGUGGUGGAGUUGGCAAAUCCGCUCCACAUACACUGAGGCGUGAAUGCGAGGAGAUUUAUUCUCCGGAAGUGAUCUGAGCCAUGGUUCCAAGAAAAGCUUCGACGUGUUUUCUAAGGCGCUCGUACCGUAAACCGACUCAGGUGAGUGGGAUGAAUAUUCUCAGGCGAUUGGGUUAAUCAUGGUUAAGGAACUCGGCAACUUAACACCGUAACUUCGGGAAAAGGUGUGCCAUCCAAAGCGAAACCCCUUGCGGGCGUAGUGGAAGGUGGUCGCAGAGAAAUGGGAGUAGCGACUGUUUAUCAAAAACACAGGCAUGUGCUAAGUCACAAGACGAUGUAUACGUGCUGACGCCUGCCCGGUGCUGGAAGGUUAAGAGGAUUUGUCAGCCGCAAGGCAAAGCGAAGAAUCGAAGCCCCAGUAAACGGCGGCCGUAACUAUAACGGUCCUAAGGUAGCGAAAUUCCUUGUCGGGUAAGUUCCGACCUGCACGAAUGGCGUAACGACUUCUCCGGUGUCUCAACCAUGUGCCCAGCGAAAUUGAAUUCUCGGUGCAAAUGCAGGGUACCCGCAGAAAGACGGAAAGACCCCGUGAACCUUUACUCUAGCUUGGCAGUGAUUUUAGAGCUUGUAUGUGUAGAAUAGGUGGAAGCCUUUGAAGCCCUGGCGCUAGCUGGGGUGGAGGCAAAAGAUGAAAUACCACCCUUAUUGGCUUUGAGAUCUAACCUGCGCUCUAUAUCAGGGCGAGGGACACUGUCUGGUGGGGAGUUUGACUGGGGCGGUCGCCUCCGAAAAAGUAACGGAGGCGUACGAAGGUCACCUCAGCCUGAUUGGAAACCAGGCGGUGAGUGCAUUGGCAUAAGGUGGCUUAACUGCAAGACAAACAAGUCGAACAGAUGCGAAAGCAGGUCAAAGUGAUCCGGUGGUCCCGCGUGGAAGGGCCAUCGCUCAACGGAUAAAAGGUACUCCGGGGAUAACAGGCUGAUUCCGCCCAAGAGUUCACAUCGACGGCGGAGUUUGGCACCUCGAUGUCGGCUCAUCUCAUCCUGGGGCUGGAGCAGGUCCCAAGGGUAUGGCUGUUCGCCAUUUAAAGAGGUACGCGAGCUG